UCACAAGAGGACACAUUCUUGCAACUUUUAUUUGCUGUAAUAUAAAUACAGGUAUUCUCAUUGCAUAUUUAUGCAUUUAGCAAUUUGGUAUGUUGAUGAUCUUUUGUAGCAACUCAUUUUUGCUUUAUUUCUUCUACUGUUGCAUGGAAAGGGACCUUUUAAAAGCCUUAUGCCUCCAUCUCUGGAUCCAGUUAUGCUUCAUCUGAGUUGAGAAGACCAAAACUAAAUCUGAUGGCCACUCUAAUUGUUUCUGUAUUUAUUUAUUUAUCUGAGUGUUGUGGAGGAAUAAUAGUGGCAAAAAAAAAUGACUACAUGCAAGCUGGUGAAUAUGAGAAGAAUAUUACAUAUCUAUGAGUUAUGGUCUACGUAACUGGUCACUGGUGAGUUGAGAGGUGAAUCUGCAUUGCCGACUGGUGCAGACAAUUGGUUCGAGUCUAAAAAUUGGGCUAGUUGAUACAGUGGUCUAAUAUAAGAGCUGUAGAUUAUUUUAAUGAAACUAAAGAGUCUAUUCUUGAAGAAAAUUGAUAUGCAUAAAAAUCAGAUCAAUUUUAUUAAUUGUCUGUCAUAAAUGAAAAUACUUUGUUGGCAAAAGCAGUAUGUCUGUUUAGUCUCAAAAUCUUAUUCGAAUACAUUUCAUAUUGGAAAAAAUUGGAAUUUUAUACAACUGCAAAUUACAGUCUUGAGAAGUUGAUUCAGCACCAGUACAAAUUACAUGUACUUUCAUUAGCAUUUGAAUAAACGCUUCAAUUCUAGUGGAAAAGAUUUGUCAAAUUCACAAAGCACUCAAAGCCAAUUGUGCUUCUUUAAAAAGAAUAGGUUUUACAAUUGAUUUAAAAACAGUAAUUUCGUAUGACUCAGUCAUUCAUGGAUAUUCAUUUCUAAGCUGCUUUGAACUGUAUUGCUUAGAUGAUUGACUGGACUCCAUCAUUUAUUUAUUUUUUUAAAUGCGUUUUAUGGUAACUUGGUAAAUCAGCAGGGCUCUUUCCAGUGCAUUCUAACAGGGUGAUCCUCAGGACUGACUUAUCUGUGAUGGGACGUGACAUUUUUGAACUAUGUUUCAGGUGUUGUGAGAGGACAAGUUCAAUUGUGCUCAAUUUAUGAACAUCAACAAGCAAAACUGUGGCGUAAGGAUUGCUGAGGCUGUGGACAGGGUCAGAUGCUGGGAUAGGUUACUGUGCAUACGUGUCUCUUGUACCGCUGUGUCUUCAUAUAAACUGUUCUAUCUUCCAGUUAAAUGCUAGCUCCCUUCUUCUGUCUUUUCUAGACUACCACAGCCUGAGAUGAAGAUGAUCCUGACUUUUAUUUAUUUAUUUAUUUAUUUUUGCUGGUGGGGACAGAUUCUUACAGAAUAAGUCAAUCUUUACGUCACCAGCACUCUCUUAUAAGAUGAGAAAGGAUCAAUUUAUAAGCUGCUUAAACUGUUUAGAUAAAAACUCUGUAACUCUUGGAAGAUGCUGUUUUGAAUGCGGAACCUUUCCUGUUUUCAUGUUGGAGUUUCUAAACCUGCUGGAAGGGGAUGACAUUGAUGCCAAUGGAAACCUCAGAUGCACAGGUUGAGGGUAGUACAUUUUUAGAUUUGCUUUGCCUAACAACCGAAGCAAACGCAGAAGGAGGAGAAAGAGAUCCUGUAUUUUUUUAUUUUUUUUUAAUAAAUAACUGAAUGUCCGGGAAUUUCACACAUGAGUUUUUAGAACAUUUGUUCCCAUGAAAAGCAGAAUGAUUUUUUUGUGUGUGUGCUUGAGAAUUCUAUGAAAAUAACAACAAAGUUAAUUCCUAAGUAGAAAUAAUUAUAUUUCUUCCCAGUACAUGAGUUUGUUAAAGCUCUUACAUCUCUGCACAAGGUAAGUAUUGCUUCUGAAGAUAAAUGGAAAUGUUUCUCAUAUUUUUAAAAAACUUUCUACAGAAGUCAAUUUAGAACUUGUAGGAAAUAAUUCUUUCAGCUGUUUUCAGUUGUUUUGUUUUAUUUUUCUUUGUUUUAGCGAGCUUUGUAAAAUGUCUUUUUCUUCACAUUCCCCCAGGAUCUUAAUUCAGUGUUUGUCUUCUUUACAGGUUAGACAUAUUUUGAAAUAUCAGUCUAGACAACUUUGUCUUUCAGUUUACACAGCUGUAUUUUACUGUUAAGGUACAUGUAGACCUUUGUUCACAGGAUGUCAACAGAAUACUGCCAAGAAAAAGAUAGCCACCAGGUAUUUCCCUCUAUUCACUUUGUGAUACUGAAAGAAUAUGAGAUUUUCUUUUACCAGAAAGAGACUUAGGAGUUCAUAAAUAUGAAAUAAAAAGAAAUGCGUGUUUGUGUAAACUACUGUACAGAUAGAAAAAAAUUGAAUUUCUCAUUCAUUGUUUCUUAUCGUGCCUGCAGCAUGAUAGAUGCUUGCAAAGACAUGAGCUAUGUUUCUUCAUCUAGUUCAUAUUAAUCUCACUAAGUGUAAAGGAUUUUAAAGAGCAAAACAUUACAAGCUGACAUUGGUGUCAAAAUAUCGAGGAAGAAGAAAACAUGUAAAUUCUGUAAGUAGAGAAGCAGAGUUAUCAUCCAGUGUUAUUAUUUACGCAUUCAAUCUGUAGAUUGUGAGUCUAUUCUAGAUUACUUUUGAAAGGUCAUGGUAACAGAUUGGUUCCUGAGGACUGGAGGAAAGCAAAUGUCACUCCUGUCUUCAGUGAGAGCCAGAUAGACCUGUGGCACCAUAGGGUAUUCAGCCUUACCUUAUGGGAAUGGUGGAGCAAACCCUUCUGGAAACCAUUUCUAAGAAUAAAAUAGCAUGUGGAGUUAGUCAUCAUAGAUAAAGGGGAAAUUGUCUGACCAAUGUGGUAGCCUUCUAAAAUGAAAAGACUAGCUUGGUGGAUCAGGCUAUCAGUGCAGCACUAGAUGAUGCUUUCUGGCAUUGGUAUCCAACCUUUUAGCCUGCCCAGUCCCCAUUUAGUGAAGCAGAAUUGUUUUGGGCCACAUAUAAAAUAUAUAAUAUAAUAAAUUAUGAAAGUAACAAAACUUCUUUUGUUUUUAAAUAUUUUCCAUUAAAACAUAAGAAGGCAACAAAAUUGUAAAAUUAGUGGGAUAUUUUACAUUGUUUUUGCAAAAAUUAAUGCAUCAGUGUCUGGUUUGAUUGAAUUGGUUGCGAUUCUUAGUGAGUUCUCAUGGUGCUUAUCAGAUGUUUUUGAUCUAAUUUUACUCUUCCUGUGAUUCAUCCUUGAAAAUAGUUGUAUACAAAUAUAUGAAAAGCGAUAGCAUGAAUAAGGCGUGAUUGUGAAUUGAGGGGUGUUUUUCCCUGGUAAGAAGUCCUAUAAAACUGGUCGAGAGACAUCAAAAUUUCGAGUUGAAUGAUUGCAGCUCUGUACAUCCCAUUUGAAAAUUUGCAGCUAAUACAUUCACUUCAGCAGUACACGGGGUUGCAAAUAUACCAAAAAAUUGAUUCUUUCAGCAUUCUUGAAACCUAUUCUCAAGUUCCUUUAUCAGAACGGAAAGUAUGGCUGCAUAUUUUUUGCUGUUCACAAAACUGUGUUUAGCCAACAUAUCAAAAUGCAUGAAAUUACUUGCCGUAACCUGAGCUUGCCAUAACGUAAUUUUCAUUUCAGAUGGUUUUACAGUUUGAAACACAGCAUGGGUAAGUUGAUUUUCACCUUGAAGAUAUAUGUGUAACUCAUUUAAAUGAGUGGUCAAAUCCUCCAGAAAUGCUUAAUCUGUGAACUAUUUUUGAUCUUUAUCUUCUGGCUCAGUUUUUCCUUUUGAUUCCUUAAAUGGCUUGAUUUCACUUCACAGAUCAUAAAAUCUCUUUACCAUUUUACUCCAACUUAGCCACCUUACUUCGAGAAAGCAAAUCAUGUCCCUGUAAUGAACUUCCAUACUUUUAUGGAACUCCUGGAUUUGGUUAUGAUUCAGUCCCUUGGACUUCAUGAAAUUUACAGCUUUGAUGACAAUGUAACCUGUGAUAUAUAUGGAUUUCAUGUAUACAUGAAAUGUGUGUAGUGGGUGUGAUAGUUGAGGUUAUUACCACACUGCACCCUCCCCUGCACACUAAUCCGUUGCCACCCUUGCAGUUUAUGCUUGGGUUACACACAGUCAACUCAUGAAAAACAUCACUGAAAAUCACACAGUAGUGUUAAAAGUUUACGAUCUUGUGGGGCUGCAUUACUAGCUGCCCAGGGUUGCAUGGGGCCUAUGGGCUACCAGUUGGACACACCUGCUUUAUGGUCUGCAGUCUGUUGUCCUAAUCCUCAAUGCUUUCUGAAAUGUUUCCAUAGUAGGAAAGGGGAGGAGGGAGAUGAUGGCAUCUCAUGGACUACUGCUGCAGUUCAUCUGCGAGAGUCAUUUCUCUUCCUUGGAUGAUUGUAUUAAAAAAUGAUCACUUGCAAAAUUGCUUAUACUUUGCAUGCCACAUUUCUUAACAAAACUUCAACAUAAAGUUCAGCAGUAUUUUUCCAUUAAAAGAUUUUCAGCAGCAGGUUGGGCACUGGCCUGUGGCAGCAUUUGUUUGGUGUUCUUGUUUUGUUUGGGCCAAAGCCAGAUUAAUCUCUUAAAAGAAAAUAUUCAAGAUACGGUAUGAACUUCUGCAAUUCAGUAUGUCCAGGCAAGUUCAUCCUCAAACAGAGAUAAAUUAAAAACAAACUGGUUGACUUACUGUGAGUCAGGCUGAAAAAAAAAUAAAAAAAUGCAUCCG
ensembl:lncRNA